CACCAGGCGCAGGUGUCCUGCAAUGAGCAUUAACUGUUCCCGUGCUGGAGGAGCCAAGGGUAUCCCCAGGAUGGCUGCUCAGUUUCAACGGGGGCAUGAAGGUGUUCGGAAACAUCUGGAUGUGGGGCACUGGCUGGAAGGACUCCAGGAAGGGAGAAAGUGAUGGCAGCAUCCUCCCCACCCUGGGCGUCCUGCACAGGAACCGGGCGUUGCACCCUGCUCCAGUGGGAACACCCAGGCUGCCUGUCAGUGCUCUCCUUCCCUCCCAUCCAGCCUCAAGCACGCGGAAGCAGAGCCUGCUGCUCCUAACGCGGUACCCAGGGGAUGGAUCCUUCUCUCCGUGCUUUUGUGGGAGAUUUGAGAUGAAGAGAGAAGACAUGGAAAUGAUUUUUAUCUCACUUUCAAGUCUCCAUCGGGUUGCUGGUGGUUCCAACUCCCAGCAGGUCGCUGUGAUUUCGGGUCCUGUGUUCCUCGCUCCUCACAGAGCUUCCUGGGAUCCAGCCCAGCGGCACUGAUGGUAGCCUCUGCUCCUUCAUCCCUCGUGGACCCAGGCAGGAAGAGACAGAGCUGACAGCUCUGCAAGGCGAGGAGGAGGCAGGAGAAGCAGCAGCAGCUCCCAGGUCAUCAUCACUUUGUCAAAAUCAGCAGGAGCCCCUGAGGGCCUUGAGAUCAGAGCAGCUAAACCAGGGAUUUCUGUUCACACCACUGGGGCUGGAACUUGCCCUGGCUGAGAUGUCUGCUGGGGGGUGUCCUGGGCCUAAGCCCCAUCCCAGCACCAUCCCACUGGUGGGAUGGAACCAGCCCAAGUGAGGGCACCUCCUCCAUAUGUUUUUAAACCAAAGGUGGCUUCUGGAAUCAAUAGAGAAGGUGAUUCCUCCACAGCCUGGGGAAUCCUGACCGCAUUCCUCCCUGAGACCUUCAAAGGAGCCUGAGGAAUGCAAUUCCCACUAAUUUGCUUUGAAAAUACCAACUUAAAAUCACCAUUCUGGCAUGCUGGGAGGAAGGAUCAGACCGGACUGUAGCUUUGCUGAGACAACAGUUUUGAUGAUUUAUUAAGACUUACAUUCUGAACAGCAUCAUCUUGGUUAAUGUUAAGAUGCUCCUGCGAUUAAUGAGAAUGUCAUACACUGACUGGGGAAGAAAGAGCCCAUUUUAUGUCCCCAACCAGAUGGCCCAGACCAGCUGCUCACUUUUCUUCUUUGAACUGUGAUUCUAAUGACUUCUGUGUCCUUUGAAGUCUGCUUCUGAGCUGCUGAACCAGAUGUAUUUGCAUGACAGUAGCAGAGUUUUAACAGUCGAGGAUUUGUGCUGUUUUCCCUCAUACCCCACCUCAUUUGCUCUCCUCUGGGGGUUUGGAAGGGUGAG